rnacentral:sRNA from 1 species
CGACCGACCCGUCCUCGAGGUAGGACCCGA